CCUACUGGUGGCAUCAUUGAGGCAUCUUGGUCAAUGGACGCAAGUCUGAACCAUCCAUGCCGCUUUCCUUCUUCCUUCUCUCUUCUUUUUCCCCUUCUUUUUUCCUCUUUUCCCCCCCGCUACGUGUAUCGGGUUGAAAGUAUCGUACGAAUAAGGAUCGGCUAACUCCGUGCCAGCAGCCGCGGUAAUACGGAGGAUCCGAGCGUUAUCCGGAUUUAUUGGGUUUAAAGGGUGCGUAGGCGGUUUGCUAAGUUAGAGGUGAAAUGUCGGGGCUCAACCCCGAAACUGCCUCUAAUACUGUUGGACUAGAGAAUAGUUGCGGUAGGCGGAAUGUAUGGUGUAGCGGUGAAAUGCUUAGAGAUCAUACAGAACACCGAUUGCGAAGGCAGCUUACCAAACUAUAUCUGACGUUGAGGCACGAAAGCGUGGGUAGCAAACAGGAUUAGAUACCCGUGUAGUC
rnacentral:rRNA from 1 species